rnacentral:rRNA from 1 species
GCCCAAUUGAUUGAUGGUGCUUGCACCUGAUUGAUUUUGGUCGCCAACGAGUGGCGGACGGGUGAGUAACACGUAGGUAACCUGCCCAGAAGCGGGGGACAACAUUUGGAAACAGAUGCUAAUACCGCAUAACAACGUUGUUCGCAUGAACAACGCUUAAAAGAUGGCUUCUCGCUAUCACUUCUGGAUGGACCUGCGGUGCAUUAGCUUGUUGGUGGGGUAAUGGCCUACCAAGGCGAUGAUGCAUAGCCGAGUUGAGAGACUGAUCGGCCACAAUGGGACUGAGACACGGCCCAUACUCCUACGGGAGGCAGCAGUAGGGAAUCUUCCACAAUGGGCGCAAGCCUGAUGGAGCAACACCGCGUGAGUGAAGAAGGGUUUCGGCUCGUAAAGCUCUGUUGUUAAAGAAGAACACGUAUGAGAGUAACUGUUCAUACGUUGACGGUAUUUAACCAGAAAAGUCACGGCUAACUACGUGCCAGCAGCCGCGGUAAUACGUA